GAUGAACGCUGGCGGCGUGCCUAAUACAUGCAAGUCGAGCGAACAGAUGAGGAGCUUGCUCCUCUGAUGUUAGCGGCGGACGGGUGAGUAACACGUGGAUAACCUACCUAUAAGACUGGGAUAACUUCGGGAAACCGGAGCUAAUACCGGAUAAUAUAUUGAACCGCAUGGUUCAAUAGUGAAAGACGGUUUUGCUGUCACUUAUAGAUGGAUCCGCGCUGCAUUAGCUAGUUGGUAAGGUAACGGCUUACCAAGGCAACGAUGCGUAGCCGACCUGAGAGGGUGAUCGGCCACACUGGAACUGAGACACGGUCCAGACUCCUACGGGAGGCAGCAGUAGGGAAUCUUCCGCAAUGGGCGAAAGCCUGACGGAGCAACGCCGCGUGAGUGAUGAAGGUCUUCGGAUCGUAAAACUCUGUUAUUAGGGAAGAACAAAUGUGUAAGUAACUAUGCACGUCUUGACGGUACCUAAUCAGAAAGCCACGGCUAACUACGUG
rnacentral:rRNA from 1 species